rnacentral:rRNA from 1 species
UACGGGGGGGGCAAGCGUUGUUCGGAAUUACUGGGCGUAAAGCGUGCGCAGGCGGUUGGUUAAGUCUGAUGUGAAAGCCCCGGGCUCAACCUGGGAAUGGCAUUGGAAACUGGCUAGCUGGAGUGUGGCAGAGGGGGGUGGAAUUCCGCGUGUAGCAGUGAAAUGCGUAGAGAUGCGGAGGAACACCGAUGGCGAAGGCAGCCCCCUGGGCCAACACUGACGCUCAGGCACGAAAGCGUGGGGAGCAAACAGG